GUCCAUUAAAUUGAGCCCAAAUAAUCUUAAUAAGGCCCAAAACUGAAAGCCCUCUUAAACACCCCUUCUCUCUUCAGCCAAACAAAACCUAGAAACAAAUUAAGGUUCCAAACUUUUCAUCCUUUCCAGCAGCUGCCCCCACCUCUUUCCCCUUAUGAAUGAAAAGAUAAUCUCUCACUCCUAGACCAGAGCUUGCAGCUCCAUUUUCAUGAAAUUCUUCCUCCCUCAUCUCUGUCACAAGAUCUGGUCAAGCUAAAAAGCCAAAAAACUUUUGAAGAAAUAUGCAUUUUUCAGAGAUUGGUCUUUCUUUUCAAAUGGCUCUUUUGGAGCCAAAAUCUCAAGCCGUGACCUCUUUGUGGUGUUCAAAUUUCAGAUUCAAAAAACCUAAUGUUUGCCUAUAAAUACUCCUCUUAAUGCUCUAGCCGAAAAAAAAAGAGUUUUUGGAAUCCUAAAAAAUACUCUCUCAUUUUAAACUGUUGAUAUCUUUUCUACUAUCUCUAAAAGUAACUUUAGUAUUUUCCUCUCUCUAUCUCCGUCCGUGUUGAUUUCGUUCGAAGUCUUAGACGAGACUCCCAUUUUAGCCCAUAAUUGAAUUGGGACGUUACUGUAUCCCUCCCACACUUCGACGUUCAGCAUAUCGGAUCAAAGUUUCAAUCCUUAGAAAUAUUUAGUUACUUGUGAUUCACCUUUUUGGGUGAAUUAUUAAUUCUACUUCAAUUUCCUCACAUCUUGUAUUAGCUACUUUUGUUUUGCCUAUGCUUGUUUGGUUAUUUAAGAGAAUUAGCCGUAGAACAUUCGAACCAUUUAGAGGCGUAAUUGGGACAUUAUAUUAGUAAGUCUUAAAAAUAAAUGUUUUUUUAGAAAUCACAAUCUAGUUUGCUUUACGUGGUGUUUCAAAUUCUUCAUGAGCCAAAAGACGUAUGUAUUCUUUUCAAAAUUCUAAAUUCUAAAAAAAAUAUUUUCCAAAAGGAUAUUAAAAUUAACUCUUUUUGCAAGCAAAUUGAUUUGUUGUAAAAAAAAUAAAAUGAUUUUCCUUAAUAGUGAUAUACUUGAUUA